rnacentral:rRNA from 1 species
UGCCAGCCGCCGCGGUAAUACGGAGGAUGCAGGCGUUAUCCGGAUUUAUUAGGUUUAAAGGGUGCGCAGGCGGCCCGGUAAGUCAGUGGUGAAAGUUUGCAGCUUAACUGUAAAAUUGCCAUUGAUACUGUCGGGCUUGAAUAUAGUAGAGGUAGGCGGAAUGUGUAGUGUAGCGGUGAAAUGCUUAGAUAUUACACAGAACACCGAUUGCGAAGGCAGCUUACUAUGCUAUUAUUGACGCUGAGUCACGAAAGCGUGGGGAGCGAACAGGAUUAGAUA